AGUGUUGGGGUUCCCAGUGCUGAAGUUAAACAUUAAGUUCUCCGCCUGGGGAGUACGACCGCAAGGUUGAAACUCAAAGGAAUUGACGGGUCUCCGCACAAGCGGUGGAGCAUGUUGUUUAAUUCGAAGAUACGCGAAGAACCUUACCAGGUCUUGACAUCUUCUUGAUCACUCUAGAGAUAGAGUUUCCCUUCGGGGCAAGAAUGACAGGUGGUGCAUGGUUGUCGUCAGCUCGUGUCGUGAGAUGUUGGGUUAAGUCCCGCAACGAGCGCAACCCCUAUUGAUAGUUGCUAACAUUUAGUUGAGGACUCUAUCGAGACUGCCAGUGAUAAACUGGAGGAAGGUGGGGAUGACGUCAAAUCAUCAUGCCCCUUAUGACCUGGGCUACAAACGUGCUACAAUGGCCGGUACAAAGAGUUGCCAACCCGCGAGGGGGAGCUAACCUUUUAAAACCGGUCUCAGUUCGGAUCGAAGUCUGCAACUCGACUUCGUGAAGUUGGAAUCGCUAGUAAUCGUGGGUCAGAAUACCACGGUGAAUACGUUCUCGGAGAUUGUACACACCGCCCGUCAUACCACGAGAGUUUGUAAUGCCCGAAGUACGUGGCCUAACCAGUUUACUGGAGGGAGCGUCCUAAGGUAGGAUAGAUGAUUGGGGUAAAGUCGUAACAAGGUAGCCG
rnacentral:rRNA from 1 species